rnacentral:piRNA from 1 species
UAAGAUAGGGGAUCUUGGAUUCCUUGAUAA